UCUGGUGAGGAUAGCAUGCAGGGAAACACCCGUUCCCAUUCCGAACACGGCAGUUAAGCCUGCAUGCGCCGAUGGUACUGCGGGAGAGCCCGUGGGAGAGUAGGUAUUGCCAGGGGG
rnacentral:rRNA from 1 species